rnacentral:rRNA from 1 species
GACGAACGCUGGCGGCGUGCUUAACACAUGCAAGUCGUGCGGUAAGGCCCUUUCGGGGGUACACGAGCGGCGAACGGGUGAGUAACACGUGAGCAACCUUCCCUUCACUUUUGUAUAACUGCCGGAAACGGUGGCUAAUACCGGAUAUGACUUCCUCACGCAUGGGGGGUGGUGGAAAGCCUUCGGGUGGUGGGGGGUGGGCUCGCGGUCUAGCAGCUUGUUGGUGGGGUGAUGGCCUACCAAGGCUUCGACGGGUAGCCGGCCUGGGAGUGUGACCGGCCACACUGGGACUGAGGCACGGCCCAGACUCCUACGGGAGGCAGCGGUGGGGAAUAUUGGCCAAUGGGCGAAAGCCUGAUACAGCAACGCCGCGUGAGGGAUGACGGCCUUCGGGUUGUAAACCUCUUCCGCCUGAGACGAAGCGAGAGUGACGGUAGCAGGUAAAGAAGCACCGGCUAACUACGUG